GUGUGUGUGUGUGUGUGUGUGUGUGUGUGUGUGUGUGUAUGUAUAUAUAUAUAUAUAUAUAUAUACACACACACACACACAUACACACAUAUAUAU